rnacentral:rRNA from 1 species
UACGUACCGGACAAACGUUAUUCGGAAUUACUGGGCUUAAAGAGUGCGUAGGCGGCCUAGCAGGUGGGGUGUGAAAGCCCACGGCCCAACCGUGGAAUUGCGCUUCAAACCGCUAGGCUGGAGGGAGACAGGGGUGAGCGGAACUGAUGGUGGAGCGGUGAAAUGCGUUGAUAUCAUCAGGAACACCCGUGGCGAAGGCGGCUCACUGGCCCGUUACUGACGCUGAGGCACGAAAGCUAGGGGAGCGAACGGG